ACAGUAGGUAAAUGCAAUUAAAUAGUCAAUAUAUGGUUCCCGUAAAAUACCAACUGACUUCACUGUUUCACAACCACAGUACACUGGUGUGAAGAUACAGUAUAAUCGCAAUUCAAUUUUCAAUUCAAUUUUAUUUAUAUAGCACCAAAUCACAACAAAGUUAUCUCAAGGCACUUUACAAAGUAACGUUUAAGACCUGACACAACUAAACCCAACAAAUCCCAUAUACAGCAAGCAUUUAAUUUGACAGCAACAGUGGAGAGGAAAAACUCCCUCACUAACGAGGAAGAAACCUCCAGCAGAGCCAGGCUGGAUGUGGGCGGCCACCUGCCUCGACCGGUUGGGGUGAGGGGUGUAGCAGAUUCAAAUUAACAGUUUGAUAUUAAUGCAGAAACAUUAAUAUUCCUCGAAGUCGGGGCACCAGGUUUGUUUUAAAGCUGAAACCACGCUUGUAUCAAUCUAGUCAACGCCAGAUGUCAAUUCAAUGAGUUACCAGUUAUGGAGAACAAUAACAACUUUCUUGUGAUAAAAACAAAACAGUCUCUUGUGCCAUGAAUUCUUGUCGCGGUUUAGUGACCUCUGCUUAAAUCUGAAGAACAUUGCACACAAAACCAGAUUCCUUUUGACGUUUAAUUAAUCUAACACUACUAGAUAUAUGAAUAACAUAAUAUGGAAAUACUAAAAUAAGCAAAACAGAAAAUGAGAAAGCAAUCAGAAUGAGAUGAUAAACAGUGAAUGAAUCAAUGAGUAAAAACACAAAGAAUGGCCAAGACCAGAUUGUGUGAUGGCUUUGAUCAACCGAAAAGAGUAUAGGUUUCUAACUUGUACAAAUCUAAGAAUAACUAAUCAAUUUGGAAUGUUCAAUUUUAGCGCUUUGAGAAACACCAGAAUUCUCAGAGGAUUAGAGAUGUUCGUCUUGCCUUAGUUUGGAGCUGUAGGCCGCUAAGCAGCGUCUCCCGUUACCGGUUGGUUGAGCAGGCGUGCCCUCUCUGGUCCAGGUGCCUCUGCGCCAGGAAUCGUCGCCCGCGGUGAUGAUGACGGCUCGGGGUCAGCGAAGUAACAGUCAGCCAGGCUGGACUUUCCAAGGUGUUUUAAAGCGUCAGCGCUACUUAAACUAGCCCAAAAGGGAAACGGGCUGGAAUCUAAUUUUAUUAGUUCGAUCAAAAAUAGCGAGUCAACUAAUGACUGUUUGUAAUAGUUUCAGUUUCGCUGUGUUUCUUGACAAACAAAAAUUAACAAAAUCUGUUGCUCGUCCGUAUUUCUAAGUUUAACUUAAGUUUACAAAACUCAAGAACAAAGGAAAAUUAAAGGAGUCAUAUCAUGCUUUUCAUUCUAAAAAAUAUUAGACUUUAAUGUCUCAGUAAGGUCUCUGUAAAUUUUCAUCCCAUAAAACCCUUUAGAUCGUCCACACUGCCCCUGUCAAUGUGUGGUUUUCACUCUCCAUCAGCAAACGCUGUGUUUUCUGGGCGUGUCGCCAGCGUAGCUGCUCACCACACCUCUGUGCGGAAGCGCAUACCUUUUUUGUUGUUGUUUUUUUUUUAAAUUGGCUCCAUGGAUACGAGCCACCGCACGGUUAGGAUACAAUAGGUGGCAGUAGUGCGACAUUGAGAAUGCAAUCCACCGCAAUCCUCCACAGAAGAAGAAGACCCACUACAGAACUGCACGACAUUAGUCAUCUGGUUCGUAGCGUAGUAGAACCAUACGUCUACGAUCCCGAAUCUGACCCUGAAGCUGAAGAGGAGGCUGUUGAAGUCACCACAUUUCGGCUGAUGCAAGAUGUGUCUCAUUGUUGUUACAGGUAUCUAGUCUACAGAGGCUAGUGAGCUGGUGCUGAGGAUUCCUGGGGUGAAGAAUCUGAGUUGCCAUCUCUUCAUGCUUGGGUUGUAGAUGAAGGCAGUUUCCUGAUGGAUAAAACACUAAAACACUCAUAGUAUGAUUGAUGUAGACCACCUGUAGAAUAACUCCUUUACCGUUUGAGUAAAAAUGUGUUUUUUGUGAGUGCAACACUCAUUAAGAAUUUUUUUAACUUUAUUUAUAUAUAAUUUAUAUGCGUUUUAUUUAUGGCCGCUUCAACUUUAUAGCUUACCAUAUUAGAAAGAGAAAAACAUGUAAUUUCAAUACUAUGAUUUCCUAAAUAAAAGUGUUUUCCCUUCAGAAA